GAGGAAGUGCAGCAGAAAGGCUGGUUAAUGAAGACACCCUCAAGCCAUCAGCAAGGGAGUCCUAAGCUCCAGACGCACUGGGAAUUCACCUCCAAGCCUACACUUCUGGCCUCUUCCCACGCUCCCUCAGCUGCCUCUGGCCUUUGGAAUGUUACCAGAAUCCAGACCUGCCUCAACCCAGCCUCUUCCGAAAGUCUCAUUCAUGACAUAAUCACUUCUCGUCUCACUUAUUGCAAUCCGUCUUUAAUAGCCUUCCAUCCCUGCUUUGUCGUGCUGCAACUGGCAUGCUCUGUUACUGCAGGAAGUUGGGCCGUUUCAUCACCAUCCUCCAUUGAUCUGCCUUAGCUUCCUGUCCAUCUCUUGCUCCAGUUUAGAAUGAGAUUUCCUGGCUUUCAAAACUCUUCGGAUUCACUUCACCCCUCCUCUCUGGCCCUGACUACAACCACUCCCUCUGCUUCUCUGAUUUCCAUCCAGCUUCUCCAAUUCACUCUUCCAAGACCCAUCCACCUACUUCCCCAAUCCAUGCCUCCAACAUCCAUUCAGAUAAGAAUUUUGGCCCAACCUCAUCUCUUACCAAAAACCACCAAAGCAUUCUGUUUGUUUGUUUUUUAAGACUGGUGCUGAGCACCUACCCUCAGAAAAUUAGGCCCCUUUUGUGGUGUAUC